ensembl:snRNA U6 U6 spliceosomal RNA
GUGCUUGCUUCGGCAACAUAGGUACUAAAAUUGGAAUGAUUCAGAGAUUACCAUAGCCCCCACACAAGGAUGACAUGCAAAUUCAUAAAGCAUUCCAUAUUUAA